GGAAGGAUCAUUAUUGAAAUAAACCUGAUGGGUUGUUGCUGGCUCUCUAGAGAGCAUGUGCACGCCUUGUCAUCUUUAAAUCUCCACCUGUGCACCUUUUGUAGACCUUUUCAGGUCUAUGUUGUCUCAUUUACCCCAAUGUAUGUUAAUAGAAUGUUGUGACUAUAUAAUAUAUACAACUUUCAGCAACGGAUCUCUUGGCUCUCGCAUCGAUGAAGAACGCAGCGAAAUGCGAUAAGUAAUGUGAAUUGCAGAAUUCAGUGAAUCAUCGAAUCUUUGAACGCACCUUGCGCUCCUUGGUAUUCCGAGGAGCAUGCCUGUUUGAGUGUCAUUAAUAUAUAUAUCAACCUUCUCUUGUUGAAUGGUUUGGAUGUGGGGGUUUGCUGGCCUCUUAAAAGGAUUCAGCUCUCCUGAAAUGCAUUAGCAGAACAAAACCUGUUCAUUGGUGUGAUAACUAUCUACGCUAUUGAAUGUGAGGUGGCAGUUCAGCUUUCUAACAGUCCCUUGGGACAACUCAUCAUUAAUGUGACCUCAAAUCAGGUAGGACUACCCGCUGAACUUAAGCAUAUCAAUAAGCGGAGGAA
rnacentral:sRNA from 1 species